rnacentral:rRNA from 1 species
GACGAAUGCUGGCGGCGUGCUUAACACAUGCAAGUCGAACGGAAAGGCCCUGCUUGCAGGGUACUCGAGUGGCGAACGGGUGAGUAACACGUGGGUGAUCUGCCCUGCACUUCGGGAUAAGCCUGGGAAACUGGGUCUAAUACCGGAUAGGAGCCAUUUUUAGUGCGAUGGUUGGAAAGUUUUUUCGGUGUAGGAUGAGCUCGCGGCCUAUCAGCUUGUUGGUGGGGUAAUGGCCUACCAAGGCGGCGACGGGUAGCCGGCCUGAGAGGGUGGACGGCCACAUUGGGACUGAGAUACGGCCCAGACUCCUACGGGAGGCAGCAGUGGGGAAUAUUGCACAAUGGGCGCAAGCCUGAUGCAGCGACGCCGCGUGGGGGAUGACGGCCUUCGGGUUGUAAACUCCUUUCGCUAGGGACGAAGCUUUUGUGACGGUACCUAGAUAAGAAGCACCGGCUAACUACG